rnacentral:lncRNA from 1 species
GCUCUUGCCCCAGUUUUUGUUGGUGGAAUAGACCCUACGGGAGCCCCGUGAAGGCUAAUUUCUCUGUCCGGCUAUCCCCCCUAUGUCACCAAUUGUUGCAACGAGGGUGACGUCAUUGAGGCCCUCAAGGACAUGCUUAGCAAAGGUAUGAGAAAAUGUCGCCAGUUCUAUAAAGUCAAGGGCUGGAGAGUCGAAGAGCGCACUUUGGGACUGAAAAAGUUCCACCCUUCAUCAAUGC